rnacentral:rRNA from 1 species
AUUGAACGCUGGCGGCAGGCCUAACACAUGCAAGUCGAGCGGACGAAGGGAGCUUGCUCCUGGAUUCAGCGGCGGACGGGUGAGUAAUGCCUAGGAAUCUGCCUGGUAGUGGGGGAUAACGCCCGGAAACGGGCGCUAAUACCGCAUACGUCCUGAGGGAGAAAGUGGGGGAUCUUCGGACCUCACGCUAUCAGAUGAGCCUAGGUCGGAUUAGCUAGUUGGUGGGGUAAAGGCCUACCAAGGCGACGAUCCGUAACUGGUCUGAGAGGAUGAUCAGUCACACUGGAACUGAGACACGGUCCAGACUCCUACGGGAGGCAGCAGUGGGGAAUAUUGGACAAAGGGCGAAAGCCUGAUCCAGCCAUGCCGCGUGUGUGAAGAAGGUCUUCGGAUUGUAAAGCACUUUAAGUUGGGAGGAAGGGCAGUAAGUUAAUACCUUGCUGUUUUGACGUUACCAACAGAAUAAGCACCGGCUAACUUCGUG